ACUAAAUAGAUACCCAGGUAGUCCACGCUGUAAACGAUGAGUGCUAGAUGCCGGAUUUUUCGGUGUCGCAGCUAAACGCAUUAAGCACUCCACCUGGGAAGUACGAUCGCAAGGUUGAAACUCAAAGGAAUUGACGGGGGCCCGCACAAGCAGUGGAGCAUGUGGUUUAAUUCGAUGCAACGCGAAGAACCUUACCUAGGCUUGAAAAGCUUAUGACCGGCUGUGAAAGCAGCUUUCCCGCAAGGGCAUAAGUACAGGUGCUGCAUGGCUGUCGUCAGCUCGUGCCGUGAGGUGUUGGGUUAAAGUCCCGCAACGAGCGCAACCCUUACCAUUAGUUGCCACCGGAGCAAUCCGAGCACUCUAAUGGAACUGCCUACGCAAGUAGUGAGGAAGGUGAGGAUGACGUCAAGUCCGCAUGGCCCUUACGCCUAGGGCUACACACGUGCUACAAUGGCCGCCACAACGGGCAGCAAAAUCGCGAGAUGGAGCGAAUCCCUAAAAAGCGGCCUCAGUUCGG
rnacentral:rRNA from 1 species